rnacentral:rRNA from 1 species
GAUGAACGCUGGCGGCGUGCUUAACACAUGCAAGUCGAACGGUGAACGAGGGAGCUUGCUCCCUCCGGAUCAGUGGCGAACGGGUGAGUAACACGUGAGCCAUCUGCCCUGGACUCUGGGAUAAGCGUCGGAAACGACGUCUAAUACCGGAUACGAGGCGUGGGGGCAUCCCCAACGCCUGGAAAGAACUUCGGUCCAGGAUGAGCCCGCGGCCUAUCAGCGAGUUGGUGAGGUAACGGCGCACCAGGGCGACGACGGGUAGCCGGCCUGAGAGGGUGACCGGCCACACUGGGACUGAGACACGGCCCAGACUCCUACGGGAGGCAGCAGUGGGGAAUAUUGCACAAUGGGCGCAAGCCUGAUGCAGCAACGCCGCGUGAAGGACGACGGCCUUCGGGUUGUAAACCUCUUUUAGCAGGGAAGAAGCGAAAGUGACGGUACCUGCAGAAAAAGCACCGGCUAACUACGUGCCAGCCGCCGCGGUAAAAC